GCGUAGAUGUGAGAGGAUGUUUUCUGGCA
rnacentral:piRNA from 1 species